rnacentral:lncRNA from 1 species
AUGGCAUUGGGAACAGAUGGUGAAGGUUUCCAUAAAACAGAAGAGGAAACAGACCUGUCUUCAGUGAGCUCUAGGAAGCCAAAGUAUAUGUUACAGAAAAGAGGGGCCAGCAACA